CUGUAUACAAAAAUAUGCUUGUCAUUGGAUGGCUCGGUUUGCGAAGCUGAUGAAGGGCGUGCCAAGCUGCGAUAAGCCCGGGGUAGAUGCAUGGAAUCUAUGAACCCGGGAUCCCCGAAUGGGACAUCCUGACGACUCCUGUCGUCAAUCGUUUUGUAACUAAAACGAUAGGAAACGCCCCGAAUUGAAACAUCUUAGUAGGGGCAGGAGAAGAAAUCAAGCGAGAUGUCGUGAGUAGAGGCGAUCGAAACCGACAGAGUUCAAACCGAAUCCUUUUGCAAAAAAGGACAUGUGGUGUUGAGGACUUGCAGAAAUGAGAGAAAAGUGUCAUCAAAAGUCGCCUGGAACGGCACACGAUACAGGGUGAUAGUCCCGUAUGGUGGUAUCUUUCUCUCUUGCAAGCACCUGAGUAGCGUGGGUUGGAAAUCCCGCGUGAAUCUGGGGGUCAUCAACCUCCAAAACUAAAUACUCCGCAAAACCGAUAGCGAAAUAGUAGCGUGAGCGAAAGCUGAAAAGCAACCCUUGAAAGGUGUUGAAAAGUGCCUGAAAGUGACAAGUGAUAGUGGGAUGCGGCAUGAAAGGACCUCUUUCUUGAAGGACCGGGCAGCAAUGCCCCUGUACGAAAGAAAGUGCCGAUGUCGCAUCGUACGUUUUGAAGAACGGGCCAGAGAGUUUGUUCACAUGGCGAAGGCUAAUUUGUGAUAAGGAGCCGUAGGGAAACCAACAAGUUUGUAAGUCGUAAGACGGUGAAACGACGUAUUAAAAGUGCGUGUAGUCCUGUGGACAAGACCCGAAGCCUGGCGAUCUAUGCGUGGGCAGGUUGAAGCGUGACGAAAGUUGCGUGGAGGACCGCAGGCGGUUUUGAUAUGCAAAUCAUUCGCGUGACCUGCGUAUAGGAGUGAAAGAUUAAUCGAGCCAGGCAUCAGCUGGUUCCCCCCGAAACAUGUCCAAGCAUGACCUAACCGGAGGUCGAGGGUGAGGUAGAGCACUGAUUGAGGGAGCUGGGGAAGAAAUUCCUUACCCCUCUGUCAAACUCCAAACUCCCUCUCACCUGCGAUGGUUGGAAGUCCGCAUUACGGGGUAAGCUUGUAAUGCGUGAGGGAGACAACCCAGACCGUGGUUAAUGUCCCCAAGUGCAGGCUCAGUGUAAACACAGAAAAGUGGUCCUGGGUCAAAGACAACUGGAAGGUGAGCUUAGAAGCAGCUAUCCUUGAAAAAGUGCGUAACAGCUUACCAGUCAAGAUUCAGGGCGCUGAAAAUGGACGGGGCUUAAGCCUGCCACAGAUACCACGGACUAUACCUUACCGGUAUAAUGGCGUAGGGGGGCGUUGUGCAUGGGUGGAAGCAGGGUUGUGAAAUCCUGUGGACCGUGCAGAAAUGAGAAUUCUGGCAAUAGUAGAAGCUGUAGUCCGGUGAGAAUCCGGACCGCCGGAGGGGCGAGGUUUCCUCGACAAUGUUCGUCAGUCGAGGGUUAGUCGGUCCUAAGAUGUGCCGUAAUUCGAGCACACCGAAAGGGAAACAGGUUAAUAUUCCUGUACCAGUAUCAAGUCUGACGCUUCUUGCUAUGACUCGCAGGGCCGUCGCCCUGUUGAAGCCGUAUAAGCAUGUGGAGUACCGUAAUGGUGAGAAACGUGCGAAAUGGUUACCACGUAAGGAUGUCAAAUGCAAGGAGCCCGUGAAAAGGAGAUACAUUGGCCGUACCAAGAUCUGACACAGGUGCCCCUCGCUGAAAAGGCGAAGGCGUGGCGGAUAAAUCGUGUUAAGGGAACUCGGCAAAUUAGCCCUGUAACCUCGGGAGAAGGGGUGCCUGCCUGGAGAUCAGGCAGGUCGCAGUGACAAGAGCACUCCGACUGUCUAAUAACAACAUAGCUGACUGCAACUCCGUAAGGACUCGUAUAGUCAGUGAUUCCUGCCCAGUGCGAGUAUCUGAAAACUCAUUCCAACGGGAAGAAGGACUCGUAAACGGCGGGGGUAACUAUGACCCUCUUAAGGUAGCGUAGUACCUUGUCGCUUAAUUGGCGACUUGCAUGAAUGGAAUAACGAGAGUGCUACUGUCCCUAACACGAACCCGUUGAACUUUUUGUCCUAGUGCAGAGACUAGGGACUCCUUAUGGGAAGUGAAGACCCCGUGGAGCUUUACUGCAGCCUGUCGCGGUCGCACGGUAUUACCUGCGCAGCGUAGAUGGGAGACGUCGAACCACCCCUCGUGGGGGGUGGGGAGUCAUCAAUGAGACACCAUCCUGGUUUUAUUGUGCGACUCACUGUCACAAGACAGGACAACGAUAGGUGGGCAGUUUGGGUGGGGCGCCACACCCUCGAAAAGAUAUCAAGGGUGCCCUAAGGUCAACUCAGAUGGGUCAGAAACUCAUCGAAGAGUGUCAAGAGCAUAAGUUGGCCUGACGCGAUCUCGCACAGCAAGAGAUCGCGAGAGGAAACUCGGGUCUAACGAACCAAUAUGCCUUAUUGAUGAGGGCUAUUGACGACAGAAAAGCUACCCCGGGGAUAACAGAGUCGUCGCCGGCAAGAGCACAUAUCGACCCGGCGGCUUGCUACCUCGAUGUCGGUUCUUUCCAUCCUGGCUGUGCAGCAGCAGCCAAGGGUGAGGUUGUUCGCCUAUUAAAGGGGAUCGUGAGCUGGGUUUAGACCGUCGUGAGACAGGUCGGUUACUAUCUAUAAGGAGUGUCGGAAGUCUGAAGGGAAGAUUGAAAUAGUACGAGAGGAACUUUCAGUCGACGCCUCUGGUCGAUCGGUUGUCUGACAAGGCAAUGCCGAGCAGCUACGCGUUACCGGAUAAAAGCUGAAAGCAUCUAAGCUUGAAACCUACCCUAAACAAGAGACUUCAUCAAAAACACGGAUAAAAGAUCCGGUUGAUAGGCUUGGGAUGUAAGCACGAAGGAAACGACGUGUUCAGUCCGCAAGUACUAAUUGUUCCAUUGACUACAGAC
rnacentral:rRNA from 1 species